UGCUCGUUAGUAUAGUGGUCAGUAUCUCCGCCUGUCACGCGGAAGACCGGGGUUCGAUUCCCCGACGGGUUG
rnacentral:tRNA from 1 species